rnacentral:lncRNA from 1 species
UAAGGUUUAUAUGCACGCAUGGAUUUAAAAGAAAGAAUAUAUGUGUUUAAAGGUAAGUGAUACAUAUGUACAUACAUAAUAAUAUAAAUGAAACCAAUAUUUAAAAUGUACAAAACAUAAUACUAGGAUUGCUACAAGAAACAGUUUACAAAUAAUAAAAUAAUGAUUACCCAAGGUGGUUUAAAAAUUAAAAUUAAACUAAACAAGAAGGGAAAAUUAGGAAAUAAAAACUAUAAUAACGGCAGAGACCCAUAUGUCGUGCGCGCGAAUGGAGAGGGACUAAAACUGGGAAUAUGCCAAAUCUCGAAGUGCUGCGUUUGAGCAUGGACCCCAUUGCAAAUGAGCGCUAAAGACAAGUCUAAAUUUAAAUAAAUGAAACAAGAAUGUGGGUUGAUUUAAACAAGGCGCUAAAAAAAGGGGGACCGAUAUUGCAAAUCGCCCUCAGUGACCAAACGCGCGGAUCUAGACCGUGUGAGGGUCGGGUCAUCGGGCCACAACUCCUCAAACACUGUCAUUUUGAGACCAUUAGUCUGGCCUAAACGGCGCCGUGCAGAGGUCCACUAUAACUACCGAAACUAAACCCUAAGACACUAGCAACCAUUCACAGAAAACAAAAAAGGAAAGAACCUAGGGCGCUCUCUCAAUUCUCCGCCGACCAACAGCCUUUCAAAGGUCUGUUCCUCUGCCCAUCCUUUUGACUCAUGUGAGAGUCAAUCAAGGCCUCCUUGAGUCGAAGGGCUCAUGAGCUUCGUUUGUAGCCCCGAAUCGCCACUUAGCUUCAAUCAUGGUGAAACAAGCGUGGAUUCAAGGGCCUCAAAUGCAGGUGAGCGUCGUUUUCCAUUUUUAUUUACAUUCAAUCAAGAAAGGGGCAGAUGGGAAGAUAAGAGAGAAAUAAGGGACGAAGAUUGCGAGUAAAUCACCUUCUUUUUCGUUUUCUAUUGCUUCUGUUUGCGUAAAUGCGCGUAACCCGUUACAAGCAAUUCUCUUCAGGCUUUAUAGCCGAGAGACAAAAGAGAAAAGAAAAGAAAAAAAUGAAAAUGAAAAAUCAUUUCUUUGUUUUCUUGCACGUAUUUGCUGUUGUGGUUUGUCCUUUUUUUUGGCAGGUACAGGUGUGCGCUGGCGUACGGGGCGUGCUGGCUGCUGAGACGCUGGUAUCGUACGGAGGGCGGGCGUGGCACGACGUGGUUGCUGUUCGUGAAGGCUGCGGCGCGAGGACCCCUUUUGCCCUAGGGUUUGCCGAAGCUUAGCUUGGGUUUCGGGCUGUUUGGGUCUGUUCCAGUUAUUGGGCCCUUAUAUUUGGGCUAUGGGGCUACUGGUUUUUUUUUUUGUAAUUGGACUAAAGUAUUAGUAAUAGGGUCUUGCAAUUGGACUUAUGCUAUGUAAUUGGAAAGUAUUUAAGGGACUGUUAUAAUUUUAUUUAUUUUAUGAUUUUUUUGGUUUAUCUGGGCCGGGCAAAUUUGGCCCAUUACAUUCCUCUUCAACCUUUUUGAGUUAUUUUCCUUUUCACUUCGGGUUCUUUAUCGCUCUUGAAGUUUUUACCUGAUCAAGAAUGCAAAAUUGAUUUUUUUUUAUGUUUGAUGCACAUGUUUAUAGAAAAUCUUGAACCCCAAGACAAAAUCAAUGUUUAAAAUAAGAUCUUUGAAAACCUUUUUCGAACAUUACAAAAACUUGCAAAACAAUCAAAAACUAUCAGAACGAAAAAAUAGAAACUAUUAGAAUAUCAAUCGGCUACACAAUCUCAGAACAAUCUCUGAACAAAAAAUAGAAACUCAAAAAAUCAACAAAAAAUAGAAACAGUAUAUAAGAAUACUAAUCGACUACACAAUCUCAGAAAAAAAAUAGAAAGUUGCAUGCAUGUUAAACUUUAGGGGUUUAGGGGAUUUUAAGCUCAGUUUUUGAAUGACAAAGGGAGGAGGCUCUGGUGAUAGUGGCCUCACUUAGGUUUAACCCUUAAGCCGCGAGGAGGCCACCAUCUCCAUAGAUUUGGUGAUCCCUAAAAGAAGAGAAAAUUUUGGCUAUUUAGGUUUCCAAAUUUUUCUUGAAAGAGAACAAAAUAAAGAUUUUUAAGGAGAAAAAAAAACAAAAAGUAGAGGAUGGAGAAGAAAUAAAAUUUUCGAGUAGUUGCUGCUACUGUUGUUAUCUUCAUCACUAAGUAGCACCAGUUGUUGAGCGGCUACUGCCAUGUCUGUACAUUGGGAAAAAUUUUUGGAGGGGGUAAGGAUGAAAGAAGAAUGGAAAAUAAGAAAAGAAAAGAAAAAGUGGAAAAGGAAAAAGAGGGGAAAAAAAAAACAAAAAAAGAAGGCUAAAUAGGAUACCACGUAGUGGUGUGCGAUUGGUCAGCGUUGCCACGUCAGCAAAAAAAUUAACGCCACUAGUAUUAGGUACCAAACUAGUGGAUGGAAAAAGAGUUC